rnacentral:rRNA from 1 species
GCACACUGCUCAGUAACACGUGGAUAAUCUAACCUUGAGUAAGGGAUAACUUCGGGAAACUGAAGGUAAUACCUUAUAAUUGCUUAAAACUGGAAUGUUUUUGCAAUAAAAGUUACGACGCUCAAGGAUGAGUCUGCGACCUAUCAGGUAGUAGGUGGUGUAAUGGACCACCUAGCCUCAGACGGGUACGGGCCCUGGGAGGGGUAGCCCGGAGAUGGACUCUGAGACAUAAGUCCAGGCCCUACGGGGCGCAGCAGGCGCGAACACUGUGCAAUGCGCGAAAGCGCGACACGGGGAGCUUGAGUGUCUUGGCAUAGCCAAGACUUUUCUCAUUCCUAAAAAGCAUGAGGAAUAAGUGCUGGGUAAGACGGGUGCCAGCCGCCGCGGUAACACCCGCAGCACGAGUAGUGGUCACUUUUAUUGAGCCUAAAGCGC